GCAAGCGCAGCCUUACGCUUCCUAUUUCGAUUGGUUUUUUAAGCAUCUAAGUAAAAAGUGGACGGAUUAUCACCAAUUUCACUUUCAUGAAAAUAAACUAUUUACAAUAGGCCCAAAAUAAAUCCAUAAAGGCGUAAAAGGUUCAAGUGUCUAUAGAGAUGGAAUACUCAACUAUUUGGAUAAAUCGAGUGUGAAGCUUUAAACAUUAUGGUUUUGUUCAAAAUUUAAGUUGUUAGCCGCUAUCCCUUACUAGACAAAAUCUUCAAAGAAAAAGCAACGAGGAAGUGCCAAAAUGUUUCUCUUACAAGACUGAGUUUGCGAGUGCGAAACAAGAAAAUCAGAUUUCCUUCGACCGACACCGGGCGGUUUCACAACUGUGAACUAAGCGAGAAAAGCUUAACUAAACAGUAUCAUCAACAUUAGUGGUUAAAUGUACCACUACGAAGCAAGACCAUACUGUCAACAGCAUCAGAGUAAUCAUCAUACUAGCCUCAUAAUAAACUAAUGCAAAAAUGGGAACUUGACUUAGAAACAUUGCGGUAGAUAACUGUGGAAGUGGUUAAUGAAAAAUAAGCUGCAAAGCGGCAAUGACCCAGUAAUGGUAAAGAUUCCAA